AGAGUGUUCUGCUUUCGGGCGUGUAGUUUUUCCUCUCUACAGGUCUUCAGCUGUUCCUGUGGGCCUGUGUCUUGAGUUCACCAGGCAGCUUUCUUGCAGCAGAAAAUUUGUUCUUACCUGUGGUCCUGAGGCUCAAGUUCGCUCGUGGGGUGCCGCCCAGGGGCUCUCUGCAGCGGCAGCAACCAGGAAGACCUGUGCCGCCCCUUCCGGGAGCUUCAGUGCACCAGGGUUCCAGAUGGUCUUUGGCUUUUUCCUCUGGCAUCCGAGAUGUGUGUGCAGGGAGCAGUCUCUUCUGGUUUCCCAGGCUUGUCUGCCUCUCUGAAGGUUUAGCUCUCCCUCCCACAGGAUUUGGGUACAGAGAACUGUUUAUCCGGUCUGUCUUUCAGGUUCAGGCGGUGUCUCUGGCAGGGGUCCUGCCGCUCCCCCACGGGAGCCCAGAGGCCUUAUACAGUUUCCUCUUGGGCCAGGGAUGUGGGCAGGGGUGAGCAGUGUUGGUGGUCUCUUCCGCUCUGCAGCCUCAGGAGUGCCCACCUGACCGUGAUGAACCUUCUUAUGUUGAGUUUUACUUUUCCUUCUAAAAGGCCGUUCUUCUCCUCCUCCGUUUUUUAUCUUUCUUUUCUCCUUUGCUAGGCUUUGAGUGACUUCAGGUUUGUGCCUUUAGGUCAAAAGAUGCCCUCCAUCCAAGAAGAGAACCCAGUCUAUACAAGGAAGAAGCAGAAGCAAAAGGUUAAGCCAUGACUUUGUGACCCCAGCUAUGAGCAGGCUGGAGCCAUCUCUGGUGAAACCAACCCCAGGCAUGACACCUAGGUUUGAUUCCAGGGUCUUCAAAACUCCAGGUCUACGAACCCCAGCGGCCAAGGAGCAGGUUUACAACAUCUCUAUCAACGGCAGCCCUCUCGCAGACAGCAAAGAGAUCUCCCUCAGUGUGC
rnacentral:lncRNA from 1 species